rnacentral:tRNA from 1 species
CGGGAUGUAGCGCAGCUUGGUAGCGCAUCCGCUUUGGGAGCGGAGGGUCGCAGGUUCGAAUCCUGUCAUCCCGACCG